GAUUCGUCUUGUUUUGGUGCCAAGAACCAGUCUUAUCCCCAUUGCAGCAGGACAUCCAGUCUUGGUUGUUUCGGUGCAAAGAACCUUUGUUUUCUUGCGCUAAAUUCAGGCUGUUAUCGACCUUGCUGAAGUGAUAUCCCGUCUGUUAUGAUGUCUGAGGCAGGUUCACCUACUACGCUAAGUUCAGUCUUGGAAUAGUUACCUUGUGCUGCAAUUUUUUGCUGUGUUAUAAAGUGACUCUUACUGCUGGUAACUUAGUAUAGCUUUGGAUUUAUGUAACUGCAUCAAAUGUUCAGUGUUCACCAAUCCUCCAGAUAUCAGAUGCUGGAUUCUCACUCUGCUAUGAAUCUUGAGAUUCUACUGAAACUCUGCUUAUAAAGUGAUUCUUGCUUCCAAUUAUUAUUUGGGCAUCCCACUGAAACUCUGCUUAGCUAGUGGCUGGUUCUCUAUAAUGAUUGACAAUUGCAAUGGAGUGAAAGAAAUAAUGUCUUUUGACUUCACUUUUCUUUUCAGAAAUUAGCUAGUCAAGCAACCAAAUGUGGUAUCUUGUUCUAAUUCCUGAGAUAUUAUCUAAAAGCAGGUUCUAAUUCCUGAGAUAGUAUCUCUCUCUCUCUCUCUCUCUCUCUCUCUCUCUUCCAGUGCCCUCUCCUCUUCUCUCUUAAUUAAACAAAAAUGAUCACACAAAUGAUGUACUCCACACAAAAUUAAAUGAAACUUUUCAAACAAAAAUGAUCAUAUAUAUGGAGUAAAAUCCUGUCCAUAGAAGCCUUUUGCAAACAUAUGGAGUAAUUUCACAUGGGUUUCCGAAAAUGACCAUACAAAUGAUUCACUCCACACAAGUCUCUUCUCAAGGAGUUACAUAUACUCCACACAAGCCACAUCUCUAGGGUUACGCAUACUCCACACAAACAAGGAGUUACACAUACUCCACACAAAUAAUCACAAGCAUCUUUACAAGCAACUAGACAAGCAUCUCAACAAGCAACUCCUCAAGCAUCUCAACAAGCAUCUCGACAGGCAUCUCAACAAGCAACUCCUCAAGCAUCUCAACUAGCAUCUCGACAAGCAACUCAACAAGCAACUCCUCAAGCAUCUGAACAAGCAACUCCUCAAGCAACUCCUCAAGCAUCUCAACAAGCAACUCUCCUCAAGCAUCUCGACAAGCAUCUCGACAAGCAACUCAACAAGCAACUCCUCAAGCAUCUCAACAAGCAACUCCUCAAGCAUCUCAACAAGCAUCUCGACAAGCAUCUCAACGAGCAACUCCUCAAGCAUCUCGACAAGCAUCUCAACAAGCAACUCUCUCCAUUAUCCCAAGAUUGUGCAGGGCAUUUGCAUAUACCUCUGGAGGGCAUGUAAGUCUUGGAGGUGGGGUGUAGUUGAGGUCUGGGAGAUCCAUGUUAUCCAAGCAACUGAAAAGAACAUUUAAGGAUCUCUCCUGGCCAUGGAUCCAAGUACUGAAAUAGGGGUCUUCUCUCCUCUUAAGUAGAGUAAGUACUCCAUUACUCUACUCCUAGAUAAACAUAUCAACAUGAUGCAAAUUGUUGGAGUAAAAAGCAACAUGGUACUGCAAUUUCAGUACAUUUAAUUAUUUCAAUCAUAUUCAGUGUACUCCAAGUCAGUGGUACAACAUAUCUACAGUUGAUCAUUUCAGUAGAAACUUGCUAAACUGAAACAUUUCUGGAGUAGCUGCUAAUUUUUGCUGCUGUCAAUCAAGAUAAACUUGAAACUUGCUAUCCUAUUCUGAAGGAGGUGAUUUCAUACUAGAUGUCAGACAUUCUUGCAGUAGCUCUAGGAGGAGCUGCAGGAGGUUUGGCAUUAGUUGGUGCCAUCACACUCAUUGUAGUGAUAUGCCUACCGCACCGCGGAAGGAAUUCAGAUUCUUCAGAGAGUAAUUCGUCCGGUCAAGCUCUUCCAGACAUGCAAGGAGCAACAUGUAUGACACUGGAGGAACUAAGGUCUGCUACAAAUAACUUCAGCAGCUCGAAUCUCGUCGGACAUGGAAUGUUCGGAGAGGUAUACAACGGUUUGCUCCAUGGAUAGGAUAGGUACUGCAGACAGACAGUGGGCCACUGUAUAUUGCCCUAACAUAGCAUGGCUGAAAUAGAAUCAGUUUUUUCUCUUCUAUUUUUCAGAUGAGAGACAGCUUUACAGAAACGAAAAUCACACUCCAAAAAGGGUUUUCGUCGCAAAAUUAGGCAGAAAAGGUAGGCAUCCAUGAGUUGCUCAAACAAAUCCAAAAAUAAACCCUUUUUUCCAGCACAAUUAUAGCGGUUUGCUCCAUGUCCGCACAAUUAUAGCGGUUAAAAGGCGGCAUUCUCCUCCUAGCCAGGAAUUUCUUCAUGAGGUGCCAAAAUUUUCUCCUAGAGUAGUGGCAUGUUGUAAGAAAUCAAAACCUUGCUUCCUGAGAUCAAAACCAAUACAUGAACUCAUGGUUAUUGGUGGCCUUUUCUCCCCAGGCUAAUUACAUGUCGUCUAUCCGUCGUCGUCCCAAUAAUUUGAACAAAUUCUGAUGGAGUAUUCACUCGAAUCAUUGGCAGCAAUUAUCUCUUGAAUUACUCUUUGUCUUGAAUUAUUGGCAACAAAUAUUUCUUUGAA